rnacentral:rRNA from 1 species
UAGGGAAUCUUCGGCAAUGGGGGCAACCCUGACCGAGCAACCCCNCGUGAGUGAAGAAGGUUUUCGGAUCGUAAAGCUCUGUUGUAAGUCAAGAACGAGUGUGAGAGUGGAAAGUUCACACUGUGACGGUAGCUUACCAGAAAGGGACGGCUAACUACGUGCCAGCAGCCGCGGUAAUACGUAGGUCCCGAGCGUUGUCCGGAUUUAUUGGGCGUAAAGCGAGCGCAGGCGGUUUGAUAAGUCUGAAGUUAAAGGCUGUGGCUCAACCAUAGUUCGCUUUGGAAACUGUCAAACUUGAGUGCAGAAGGGGGGAGUGGAAUUCCAUGUGUAGCGGUGAAAUGCGUAGAUAUAUGGAGGAACACCGGUGGCGAAAGCGGCUCUCUGGUCUGUAACUGACGCUGAGGCUCGAAAGCGUGGGGAGCGAACAGGAUUAGAUACCCUGAUAGUCCACGCCGUAAACGAUGAGUGCUAGGUGUUGGAUCCUUUCCGGGAUUCAGUGCCGCAGCUAACGCAUUAAGCACUCCGCCUGGGGAGUACGACCGCAANNUG